rnacentral:misc_RNA from 1 species
UCCCCGUUAUCCGAGGCAGUCUCCCGUGAAAAAGUAACACAGGAUAGGGGUUGCGCUCGUUACCCGACUUAACGGUACACCUCACGGCACGAGCUGACGACAACCAUGCAGCACCUGUUUGGCACCCUCGAAGGAGUCUCUGUUUCCAGAGAGUAGCAGCCAAAUUUCAAACCUAGGUAAGGUUCCUCGUUUACCGUCGAAUUAAACCACAUGCUCCACUGCUUGUGCGGGUCCCCGUCUAUUCCUUUGAGUUUUAAUCUUGCGAUCGUACUUCCCAGGCGGAAUGCUUAAUGCGUUAGCUUGUUUCAUCGACACUGGGAGGGUCGAUACUCCCAAUAUCUAGCAUUCAACGUUUAGGGCGUGGACUA